GUUAAGCGACUAAGCGUACACGGUGGAUGCCCUGGCAGUCAGAGGCGAUGAAGGACGUGCUAAUCUGCGAUAAGCGUCGGUAAGGUGAUAUGAACCGUUAUAACCGGCGAUUUCCGAAUGGGGAAACCCAGUGUGUUUCGACACACUAUCAUUAACUGAAUCCAUAGGUUAAUGAGGCGAACCGGGGGAACUGAAACAUCUAAGUACCCCGAGGAAAAGAAAUCAACCGAGAUUCCCCCAGUAGCGGCGAGCGAACGGGGAGGAGCCCAGAGCCUGAAUCAGUGUGUGUGUUAGUGGAAGCGUCUGGAAAGGCGCGCGAUACAGGGUGACAGCCCCGUACACAAAAAUGCACAUGCUGUGAGCUCGAUGAGUAGGGCGGGACACGUGGUAUCCUGUCUGAAUAUGGGGGGACCAUCCUCCAAGGCUAAAUACUCCUGACUGACCGAUAGUGAACCAGUACCGUGAGGGAAAGGCGAAAAGAACCCCGGCGAGGGGAGUGAAAAAGAACCUGAAACCGUGUACGUACAAGCAGUGGGAGCACGCUUAGGCGUGUGACUGCGUACCUUUUGUAUAAUGGGUCAGCGACUUAUAUUCUGUAGCAAGGUUAACCGAAUAGGGGAGCCGAAGGGAAACCGAGUCUUAACUGGGCGUUAAGUUGCAGGGUAUAGACCCGAAACCCGGUGAUCUAGCCAUGGGCAGGUUGAAGGUUGGGUAACACUAACUGGAGGACCGAACCGACUAAUGUUGAAAAAUUAGCGGAUGACUUGUGGCUGGGGGUGAAAGGCCAAUCAAACCGGGAGAUAGCUGGUUCUCCCCGAAAGCUAUUUAGGUAGCGCCUCGUGAAUUCAUCUCCGGGGGUAGAGCACUGUUUCGGCAAGGGGGUCAUCCCGACUUACCAACCCGAUGCAAACUGCGAAUACCGGAGAAUGUUAUCACGGGAGACACACGGCGGGUGCUAACGUCCGUCGUGAAGAGGGAAACAACCCAGACCGCCAGCUAAGGUCCCAAAGUCAUGGUUAAGUGGGAAACGAUGUGGGAAGGCCCAGACAGCCAGGAUGUUGGCUUAGAAGCAGCCAUCAUUUAAAGAAAGCGUAAUAGCUCACUGGUCGAGUCGGCCUGCGCGGAAGAUGUAACGGGGCUAAACCAUGCACCGAAGCUGCGGCAGCGACGCUUAUGCGUUGUUGGGUAGGGGAGCGUUCUGUAAGCCUGUGAAGGUGUGCUGUGAGGCAUGCUGGAGGUAUCAGAAGUGCGAAUGCUGACAUAAGUAACGAUAAAGCGGGUGAAAAGCCCGCUCGCCGGAAGACCAAGGGUUCCUGUCCAACGUUAAUCGGGGCAGGGUGAGUCGACCCCUAAGGCGAGGCCGAAAGGCGUAGUCGAUGGGAAACAGGUUAAUAUUCCUGUACUUGGUGUUACUGCGAAGGGGGGACGGAGAAGGCUAUGUUGGCCGGGCGACGGUUGUCCCGGUUUAAGCGUGUAGGCUGGUUUUCCAGGCAAAUCCGGAAAAUCAAGGCUGAGGCGUGAUGACGAGGCACUACGGUGCUGAAGCAACAAAUGCCCUGCUUCCAGGAAAAGCCUCUAAGCAUCAGGUAACAUCAAAUCGUACCCCAAACCGACACAGGUGGUCAGGUAGAGAAUACCAAGGCGCUUGAGAGAACUCGGGUGAAGGAACUAGGCAAAAUGGUGCCGUAACUUCGGGAGAAGGCACGCUGAUAUGUAGGUGAAGCGACUUGCUCGUGGAGCUGAAAUCAGUCGAAGAUACCAGCUGGCUGCAACUGUUUAUUAAAAACACAGCACUGUGCAAACACGAAAGUGGACGUAUACGGUGUGACGCCUGCCCGGUGCCGGAAGGUUAAUUGAUGGGGUCAGCGCAAGCGAAGCUCUUGAUCGAAGCCCCGGUAAACGGCGGCCGUAACUAUAACGGUCCUAAGGUAGCGAAAUUCCUUGUCGGGUAAGUUCCGACCUGCACGAAUGGCGUAAUGAUGGCCAGGCUGUCUCCACCCGAGACUCAGUGAAAUUGAACUCGCUGUGAAGAUGCAGUGUACCCGCGGCAAGACGGAAAGACCCCGUGAACCUUUACUAUAGCUUGACACUGAACAUUGAGCCUUGAUGUGUAGGAUAGGUGGGAGGCUUUGAAGUGUGGACGCCAGUCUGCAUGGAGCCGACCUUGAAAUACCACCCUUUAAUGUUUGAUGUUCUAACGUUGACCCGUAAUCCGGGUUGCGGACAGUGUCUGGUGGGUAGUUUGACUGGGGCGGUCUCCUCCUAAAGAGUAACGGAGGAGCACGAAGGUUGGCUAAUCCUGGUCGGACAUCAGGAGGUUAGUGCAAUGGCAUAAGCCAGCUUGACUGCGAGCGUGACGGCGCGAGCAGGUGCGAAAGCAGGUCAUAGUGAUCCGGUGGUUCUGAAUGGAAGGGCCAUCGCUCAACGGAUAAAAGGUACUCCGGGGAUAACAGGCUGAUACCGCCCAAGAGUUCAUAUCGACGGCGGUGUUUGGCACCUCGAUGUCGGCUCAUCACAUCCUGGGGCUGAAGUAGGUCCCAAGGGUAUGGCUGUUCGCCAUUUAAAGUGGUACGCGAGCUGGGUUUAGAACGUCGUGAGACAGUUCGGUCCCUAUCUGCCGUGGGCGCUGGAGAACUGAGGGGGGCUGCUCCUAGUACGAGAGGACCGGAGUGGACGCAUCACUGGUGUUCGGGUUGUCAUGCCAAUGGCACUGCCCGGUAGCUAAAUGCGGAAGAGAUAAGUGCUGAAAGCAUCUAAGCACGAAACUUGCCCCGAGAUGAGUUCUCCCUGACCCUUUAAGGGUCCUGAAGGAACGUUGAAGACGACGACGUUGAUAGGCCGGGUGUGUAAGCGCAGCGAUGCGUUGAGCUAACCGGUACUAAUGAACCGUGAGGCUUAACCUU
rnacentral:rRNA from 1 species